rnacentral:lncRNA from 1 species
UCGAUUGUACGCAUUUCUCUUGAUCUCUUUUCUAACAAACCAUGCAUUUACAUAUUUGCAGCUAAAGUAUUUACUACAAAACUUAGACAUGUGAAAAUGUCGGCUAAGCUAUUUAAAAAACGAACAAAAUGAAGCCACAUGUACAUACAAAAUGGCACCCAACUACUGGAAGAAACAGGUAGUUAGCUAGACAGCAACCAAUGGAUAGGCUCUUUUAACGACAAUAAAUUACAAGUAAGCAAUCCAUAAUCAUCAAUAACUUUGAAUAAACUUGAUCAGAUAAUGGUUUCUUGCUCAUUCUAUUCCCAAAAGUAGAUAUUAGGAGAGUGAUGAGAGUUGAGUAAAAGAUGAAAUUUAGAGGAGCCAAGCAACUUUAGCUUUUGGAUUCAGCAGUGAGUUAACAAGAUAUGGUAUUAGAGUAGGAAAUCUUCUAUUCGAUCCUUUACAAUGUCGUUUCUUCACCGAAUUGACCUUGACAAGAGCCUUGCACUAAUUUCGAAGUUCAAAAGUGACCUAUCAAUGACCCCUAUCUAACUGGACUCUUGCUUAAAGGCUCAAGAUAGAGUCCAAAAGAAAAUUCCUCGUGGUUUUGUUCUCCUUUUUUUUCUCUUUUUUCUUUAAUAGAGACAACUUCCGUUGAAAAAAAAAAAACAGACUUACAAAAAACAUCCAAGAGACUCCAGCUAUGCAUAUAUCAACAAGUCUCCUUGAAACUGUAAUGGCAGGUCAUUAGAACAAAAAAUAUCACCUGUUUCAUAGAAAUUAGCUAGUAGAACCCAUACUUUAGUCUCAUUAGAUUAAAAGGAGUAAUGGGUUGCUUAAAGAUAGAAAUAGAGAAUUCUAUACAGCAUACUGCCUCCUCUAGAACUGAUGCUCCCUCUUAAGUUUUAAGUGUACUUAAUUUGAAUUGGGCCCUUCGUCAACCCCUUCUUGGAGUUGGUGUGUGUUUUAGUCCUUGUGUUAGAUGAUUAAUUAAUCUAUUUCAUACAAAUCUUGAUAUUUUAUAUGUCGAAAGCACGGCAAGUCAAUUUAUGCAUGUACCUAAAACAACUCAUUUUGAAACUGUCUACAACACUUUGAGCUAUGUAAAAGGAACUUCAGGAAAGUAUAUUAUAUUUGAAAAGCACAAUCACUUCCAUGUAGAAGUUUACAUAGAAGCAUAUUAGGCAGGAAGGCUAUGGAUGGAUCUACAUCUGAUUAUUGAUUAUUGUUCCUUGGCUGGAGGAAACCUGGUUAUUUGGAGAAUAUUGUUUGUAUUCUUUUUCAAACUUUCAUACAUCAUAACAAUUUUCAAAUUUUCAAUUUAAUGUUAUUAGAUCUAAACUGACACAAGUUGACGACACUCACAGAAAUUUGGAGGAAGGAACUCACUUAGUAUUAUGGUAUAGAAGGUUAGAUUACCAUUAGCUAGGGGUAUUUAUGAGUUGAUUAGGUUUUGUGAUAUUUUAGAGCUUAGAUCCAACCAAAUUGUUCAAGUUGCCUGACAUUUGUUAGAUCUACUAGUUCUAUAUACUCUUAACCAAGGGAGUCAAGAAAAUAGACUAUCCAAAAACUUGUAAACUAAACCCACUCAUACAAUUUGGGUUUAGGGUUUAAAAUUAUUUUUGGGUUAGAAAUACGAAGAGAUGUUUGGACACCUGUAAAUGAAUUAGAAUGCAUUGUAAUGUAAUCCAAAAUUCAUCCUUAGAUUGAGUGUUUUGAACCGAAUUUUAAUAUUAAACUCAUUUUGUUCCGACAGUUUUCAAUUAAACUUCAUUUUCAUCGUUUUCACUUUUUACAAUUUUAUUUUUGUUCUGUCCUCAAUUCAACAUGCAACACCCCCUACAAUCAACCACGUUUAAAAUACUAACUAAAAAGACAUAAGGAAAAAUGUUAAAACAUAAGGGAUUAAGAUGAACUUUUUAAACAAAAGGAACUAAAGUGUAAAAGAUCCCAAGGAAGAGAGGACUAAAACAUUAAUUUAAAUAGAAAGAAUCUAGAAAUCCGACCACCCAUUCUAUGAUUAUCCUAGAAUGAGGUUCAACAACAAAGCCAUUACUUCUUUUCCUCCAUUUUAUAGAACUCCUACAUUAAGCACGCAUAGCAUAGCCUUGAAUUAUAGGGGGAUUUUGUUGAUAACAAUAGUUCAUAUUAAAUUUGAAGCUAAACACAACCAUCAGGCAUCAACUAGAAGUCUUGUACCGGAACAACGACCACUGGUAGAAAUUGAUCCCCAAAGGGUAAAAUCAGAAGUAACACAAACUAGAAAUAAGCCCAGAACUACAAAACCCAAAACACCAACUAGGAAAUGUCAUAAAAAUAAAAGACUGAAACUACAAAUCUCGCCAAUAAUCGCCAUUUAGAAUUAGAUCCAGAAUUCUAAGACAAGAAUCCUAAUCUAAAACAAAAAAACUGCAACCAAAAACCAAAACUAGAUCCAGAACCAUAAAACUGUAAUCACUGCUGAGAAAGUUGAUUUAAAGAUACAAACUAGAACUACAAGUCAGUACCAUAAGAACCAAGUAGAACUACUGGUCAGACAUAAUCUCUGGGGUUCCCUUUUUUUCUCCCAAUCCUGUGAAAUGCCUUGUGAAGACUGGGUCCAAACGAAUUUUGAAAGGACACUUGGUUAGGCAACAAUCCUCUAGUCCUCUUUGUACUAGAUCUCCAUGUCUCCAUCAUUCAAGUACCUCUUCUUCCUUUCCUUUUGGUUUCGGCCACCCUUUCUUUGCUUGGGAGUUCCAUCUUUACUCCCAGGGGUAGGGAUUCUUGUAAUCUGACCCCUGACCUUUCUAGAGAGUUCUUUUGUAAUUCUUACUUCUGUAUUUUGAGCGGUCCCUCACCAAAUUACAUAGAAGGCUGUUUAGCAUUUUCUUAACAAGGAAUGAAGUUCUAUAAUAAAGGAGAUCCUAGCCAUUUCAAGACAAGGGUUCAGUUUUAUGGCAGGUUGGUUUAUUUGCAGUUUUUUGGGCCCUUUGGCUUGGAAGUUGAAAGAAAUUAUAAAGUUUAUAUAGAAGAGUUCGGGAGGAGGUUUGGUCGUCAACUAAGUCUAGCUUCUAUUUAAGUGUUGGCCUCUAAGGAAUUUCCUAAUUACCUGUUAGGUCUUAUUCUAGUGGAUUAGAGGCAUAUUUUACUAAGUUGGUUGGCUCCUUUGGUUGGGUUAUUUCUGUAUUUCCAUUGGCCUUUUGUUUUGCACUCUUUUGGUUUCUCAUUACAUAUAUAUUCAACACUAUAUGCUAUAGCUAUUACCCCUAUAAUCACAAACUAGAAUUAGAUCCAAAACCAUGCAAUCACCUUCACCAACAAGAAGCAGAGUAAGAUCAUAAAUUAGAAGCACAAGUUGCAACCAAAAUCACCUAGUAGAGUUAGAUCCAAAAGCAAAAUCUAGAACGAACCAUACAUGUAAAAUCGAAACUACAGGACACAAUCAAAAUCAAGAAAUAAAAAUGCAAUGUGCUAGAUGAACUUUUAAUGAAAUCAUGUAUUCAAUGAAAGUUCUUUCAUACUCAAUAUGUUGAUGACGAAAUUCAUCAAACAUAACUUGUUGGUUAGAGAUUUAGCAAGCUCAGCCUGAUAAUUGGGGAAUUCAACAAUCUCUUCCUACUUUGUGAAGCAAAAUUUAGAAGCAUGCAUGUAUGGAAAAUCAACUACUUCACCACUAUUUAACACAGAAAUGAGCAAUUUGUUAGUUGACUUAUGAUAGCUCAUUUAUUUAUUUAUUAAAAGAAAACAGAAAAAUAAUGGCUUGUUCAUUUUUAAAACAAUUAAAAAAGUAACAAAAGAAAAAGAAAAAGAAAGAAGAUAACUCAUGCAUUUGUGAUAAAGGGCCAAAUUAGAAAAAGAAAGUGAGUUGUUUUAUUGAGUGUUGCUAACUAGGAUAGGAAAACAAACCAAUAAUUUUGUAUUAUUAUAGAAGGUUUUGAAUAUCUCAUGUUUGCUUGAAAACUCAUAUUUCCUCCAAAACAAGUCACUUCAAUGUUAAUAGGUGAGUUUUUGCUCAAAGGUCACUUUCUCUAAUAUCCAUAAGCCUUACAAUCAAAAGAGGAAGGUAGUUUCAAGGUCUUAAACACUUGAAAAGUGAGAUGGACAAUAUUUCCCCAAACAAAAACUACAGGUGGAAGCACUAAAUCAAUCUGAUAGCUCUUGUAGUCCAAAAAGGAAAGAGAAGAAAUGUUUCCUUCUGAAAACAAUAAAAGAGGACAAAAAGAAGUUUGAUACUUUACACAAGCCUCCAUGGUAUUGGGAACAAUAUAAAUCACUCAUAAUCAAACUAGAAACUUCCUUUGCAAUAUCUUUCAAUCUUUACAACCAUGCUUUGCAAUUAAUAUCAUGAUUUAGGUACAAUCUUCCUUUGCAUGCAUUUCUUCAAGAAAACAAAGGCAGUAAGUGGGCAUUUAGAUGCCAAUAUGAAAGGAGAGAUAAGGGAAUAAAAUAAUGUGUUUGGCAUAUGAACUAAUUUUUUUAUUAUUUGAACUUGAAUAAGGUAUUCUCUUAAGAAAGACGACUUCGAUUAUAUGACCUUUAACUGAUCACUAAAAUUCUAAACAGUCAAUUACCCAACUUUCCUAAGCACAAUAACCCACUUUACUAAGCAUAAUAACCUGUAGAUUCAUCUAGCCAAAUUGAAGAGAGAGAGGACAUAGAUGAUACAAAGAUAAAUAACUUGUCUAAAAGGGAGAGAAGCUAUAGACUCUCAAUAUGAAUGUGACAUCUUGCACGGGUCCUUUACAGUAUCUAGUCUAUUUAUUUUACAUCCUCACCAUUUGUAACUCUUGAAAGCAACAGUUGUUGAUAAUGAAUAUCAAUUAGUAUAUGAUCUAAAUUCAAGUUGAGUAACAAUUUAAUAAAUUCAAUGUGGUCCAAAAAAAAAAAACUUGCAUAUGAAACUAGGUGAAAAGGAUGUAGGCCCAAAAGGAACUUACAAACUCAUGAAAUAUUUCUUUAUACAUGGUAUCAGAUCCUCACUCCAAUGAUUCGUGAAACUAAACAAGAAAUCUAGAAUAAGAAAACACACCCAGAAAAAGAUGGAAAGAAAAUUUGCCAUAAAUGAACAUGUUGAUUGCUCAAAUGGAGCUCCAAAAAGAAACCCAGAAGCAAAAAGGAAUAAAUUUUUUUAGAAUGGAAGUUAAGAGAUUCUGAUGAAAUGAACAGUCACAUGUAAAAGCAAGAAUGCCCAAAGAAACAAACGAAUCCUUAGCCAAAUUCACGUAUCCUAAAAGAAUAAUAUCUAACAAAUAAGAAGAAAUGGUCACCUGUUCAAACCAGCUCUGUCGGUUUGGUGGAGGGAAUCAUAAUGAAAAAUGGUGACCGAAUGAGAAAAUGACUCAGUUUAGUCCCACCGAC